rnacentral:rRNA from 1 species
CCAGCACCUGCGGUAAUUCCAGCUCCAAUAGCGUAUAUUAAAGUUGUUGCAGUUAAAAAGCUCGUAGUUGGAUUUCUGGACUUAGCGACCGGUCCGCGUCUUAUGGGCGUGUGUACUUGUGCGCUGUGUCCAUUUUCGUGGGGAACUGUCUGGCGUUAACGCGUCGGGCGGUGAUCCGCGUCUUUUACUGUGAAAAAAUUAGAGUGUUUAAAGCAGGCAUAUGCCUUGAAUACAUUAGCAUGGAAUAAUAAGAUAGGACUUUGGCCUAUUUUGUUGGUUAUUACGCCAAGGUAAUGAUUAAUAGGGAUAGUUGGGGGUAUUCAUAUUUCAUUGUCAGAGGUGAAAUUCUUGGAUUUAUGAAAGAUGAACAACUGCGAAAGCAUUUACCAAGGAUGUUUUCAUUAAUCAAGAACGAAAGU